rnacentral:rRNA from 1 species
UACGUAGGUGGCAAGCGUUGUCCGGAAUUAUUGGGCGUAAAGCGCGCGCAGGCGGUCCUUUAAGUCUGAUGUGAAAGCCCACGGCUCAACCGUGGAGGGUCAUUGGAAACUGGGGGACUUGAGUGCAGGAGAGAAGAGUGGAAUUCCCGGUGUAGCGGUGAAAUGCGUAGAGAUCGGGAGGAACACCAGUGGCGAAGGCGGCUACCUGGACCAGCACUGACACUGAGGCACGAAAGCGUGGGGAGCAAACAGG